rnacentral:rRNA from 1 species
CCUACGGGGGGCAGCAGUGAGGAAUAUUGGUCAAUGGACGAGAGUCUGAACCAGCCAAGCAGCGUGAAGGAUGACUGCCCUAUGGGCUUUAAACUUCUUUUAUAAAGGAAUAAAACGACGCACGUGUGCCUUUUUGCAUGUACUUUAUGAAUAAGGAACGGCUAACUACGUGCCAGCAGCCGCGGUAAUACGGAGGAUCCGAGCGUUAUCCGGAUUUAUUGGGUUUAAAGGGAGCGUAGAGGGGUUAUUAAGUCAGUUGUGAAAGUUUGCGGCUCAACCGUAAAAUUGCAAUGGAUACUGGCAGUCGUGAGUACAGUAGAGGUAGGCGGAAUUCGUGGUGUAGCGGUGAAAUGCUUAGAUAUAACGAAGAACACCGAUUGCGAAGGCAGCUUACUAAACUGUGACUGACAUUGAUGCUCGAAAGUGUGGGUAGCAAACAGGAUUAGAUACCCGAGUAGUC